rnacentral:rRNA from 1 species
ACGUAGGGUGCAAGCGUUGUCCGGAAUUAUUGGGCGUAAAGAGCUCGUAGGCGGUUUGUCGCGUCUGCUGUGAAAAUCCAAGGCUCAACCUUGGACCUGCAGUGGGUACGGGCAGACUAGAGUGCGGUAGGGGAGAUGGGAAUUCCUGGUGUAGCGGUGGAAUGCGCAGAUAUCAGGAGGAACACCAAUGGCGAAGGCACAUCUCUGGGCCGUAACUGACGCUGAGGAGCGAAAGCGUGGGGAGCGAACAGGAUUAGAUACCCUGGUAGUCCACGCCGUAAACGGUGGGUGCUAGUUGUGGGCCACAUUCCACGUGGUCCGUGACGAAGUUAACACAUUAAGCACCCCGCCUGGGGAGUACGGUCGCAAGACUA